UACGUAGGCGGAAUAAUAAGUCAGUGGUGAAAUCCUGCGGCUCAACCGUAGAACUGCCAUUGAUACUGUUAUUCUUGAAUGUAGUUGAGGUAGGCGGAAUGUGUAAUGUAGCGGUGAAAUGCUUAGAUAUUACACAGAACACCGAUUGCGAAGGCAGCUUACUAAACUAUGAUUGACGCUGAUGUACGAAAGCGUGGGGAGCGAACAGGAUUAGAUACCCUGGUAGUC
rnacentral:rRNA from 1 species